rnacentral:tRNA from 1 species
GACUCAGUAGCUCAGCUGGUAGAGCAACGCCCUUUUAAGGCGUGGGUCCAGGGUUCGAAUCCCUGCUGAGUCACUA